UUGCACAAUGGAGGAAACUCUGAUGCAGCGACGCCGCGUGAGUGAAGAAGGCCUUCGGGUCGUAAAGCUCUGUCCUAGGGGAAGAUAAUGACGGUACCCUAGGAGGAAGCCCCGGCUAACUACGUGCCAGCAGCCGCGGUAAUACGUAGGGGGCGAGCGUUGUCCGUAAUUACUGGGCGUAAAGAGUUCGUAGGCGGUCUGAUAAGUCAGAUGUGAAAGGCGUAGGCUUAACCUAUGUAAGCAUAUGAAACUGUCAGACGUGAGGUAAGGAGAGGAAAGUGGAAUUCCUAGUGUAGCGGUGAAAUGCGUAGAUAUUAGGAGGAAUACCAGUGGCGAAGGCGACUUUCUGGACUUAAACUGACGCUGAGGAACGAAAGCGUGGGGAGCA
rnacentral:rRNA from 1 species